UGGCGGCGUGCCUAAUACAUGCAAAGUCGAGCGACUGAUUAGAAGCUUGCUUCUAUGACGUUAGCGGCGGACGGGUGAGUAACACGUGGGCAACCUGCCUGUAAGACUGGGAUAACUUCGGGAAACCGAAGCUAAUACCGGAUAGGAUCUUCUCCUUCAUGGGAGAUGAUUGAAAGAUGGUUUCGGCUAUCACUUACAGAUGGGCCCGCGGUGCAUUAGCUAGUUGGUGAGGUAACGGCUCACCAAGGCCACGAUGCAUAGCCGACCUGAGAGGGUGAUCGGCCACACUGGGACUGAGACACGGCCCAGACUCCUACGGGAGGCAGCAGUAGGGAAUCUUCCGCAAUGGACGAAAGUCUGACGGAGCAACGCCGCGUGAGUGAUGAAGGCUUUCGGGUCGUAAAACUCUGUUGUUAGGGAAGAACAAGUACGAGAGUAACUGCUCGUACCUUGACGGUACCUAACCAGAAAGCCACGGCUAACUACGUGCCAGCAGCCGCGGUAAUACGUAGGUGGCAAGCGUUAUCCGGAAUUAUUGGGCGUAAAGCGCGCGCAGGCGGUUUCUUAAGUCUGAUGUGAANNCCACGGCUCANCCGUGGAGGGUCAUUGGAACUGGGGAACUUGAGUGCAAAAANAAAANNGAAUUCCCGUGUAGCGGUGAAUGCGUAANAUGUGGAGAACCCCAUGGGNAANGCGCUUUUUUGUCUGUACUGACCCUNAGCNNAAANNUGGGAGCAANANGAUNAAUCCCUGGUAUCCCCCCUANCAUNNNGUAAUGUAAAGGUUCCCCCUUAUGUGACUACCNUAANCNCCCUGGAAAGGCCAAAUNACNAAGAUNACGGNCCCANCGNGACUGGUUUUCACCNNAACUUC
rnacentral:rRNA from 1 species